AACGAACGCUGGCGGCGUGGAUAAGACAUGCAAGUCGAACGGGAUACUGUGAGUAGCAAUACAAGCAGUGUCCAGUGGCGAACGGGUGCGUAACACGUGGAUACAUUCCGGGAAGCGGGGGAUAGCCCAGGGAAACUUGGAUUAAUACCGCAUGUGAUCGAGAGAUCAAAGACGGGGACCGCAAGGCCUGUCACUUCCCGAUUGGUCCGCGGCCUAUCAGCUAGUUGGCGGGGUAAAAGCCCACCAAGGCGACGACGGGUAGCUGGUCUUAGAGGACGACCAGCCACACUGGAACUGAGACACGGUCCAGACACCUACGGGUGGCAGCAGUCGAGAAUCUUUCACAAUGGGGGCAACCCUGAUGGAGCGACGCCGCGUGGAGGAUAAGGUCUUCGGAUUGUAAACUCCUGUCAUGCGAGAACAAGGUUGCAGGGAUAAUACCUUUGCAAAUUGAUGGUACCGCAAGAGAAGAGACGGCUAACUCUGUGCCAGCA
rnacentral:rRNA from 1 species